CAGUCGCCGCGGUAAUACGUAGGUCCCGAGCGUUGUCCGGAUUUAUUGGGCGUAAAGGGAGCGCAGGCGGUUUAGUAAGUCUGAAGUUAAAGGCAUUGGCUCAACCAAUGUAUGCUUUGGAAACUGUUAGACUUGAGUGCAGAAGGGGAGAGUGGAAUUCCAUGUGUAGCGGUGAAAUGCGUAGAUAUAUGGAGGAACACCGGUGGCGAAGGCGGCUCUCUGGUCUGUCACUGACGCUGAGGCUCGAAAGCGUGGGUAGCGAACAGGAUUAGAUACCCCUGUAGUCCCUGUCUCUUAUACC
rnacentral:rRNA from 1 species